UACGUAGGGUGCGAGCGUUGUCCGGAUUUAUUGGGCGUAAAGAGCUCGUAGGCGGCUUGUCGCGUCGUCCGUGAAAACUUGGGGCUCAACCCCAAGCUUGCGGUCGAUACGGGCAGGCUAGAGUUCGGUAGGGGAGACUGGAAUUCCUGGUGUAGCGGUGAAAUGCGCAGAUAUCAGGAGGAACACCGGUGGCGAAGGCGGGUCUCUGGGCCGAUACUGACGCUGAGGAGCGAAAGCGUGGGGAGCGAACAGG
rnacentral:rRNA from 1 species